rnacentral:rRNA from 1 species
AUGGAACAUGUGCUAAAGAAAGGGUUUGUCAAGGGGACCCAGAACCUACACAAGUUUGCUAGGCGGGUCAAUGCUUGCAUACAAACUCGGAUGCAGAAGGAGAACGAGCAAACAAUGACCAGCAUGACCAAUCCUGUGACAAAAACAACUUACAGCUAUGAGGAAGACAUGUCUAUCAAGUACAUGAGAGCCGUGUACACUGAGAUGAGGAAUAGGAUGAGAAAGGCCACGCUAUUUCGUGCAAAGCGUACAGCAGAGCCCACUAAGUACCUUGUGUACUACCACAACAAGCCUGGCCAUGAUGAUGAAGAAAGAUUUUCCUGGUCAAAGCAUGAAUUCCAGGUUGUAGCUGACCCAGAGAAUGAAAUAUACGAGUGUGAAUGCAAGCUCUGGACACACACAGGCCUAUUCUACCUUCACAUCAUGAACAUACUGGACUACCUCAAGCCUAACAAAUUUCCAAACAAGUAUAUCCUCAAACGGUACACAAAGACUGCAGGAUCAAAACCAACCUUUGAUACAAGGGACUACAACACAACCGCAUCGGAUGACAGCUCAAGGCUAUCGAAUCAAGACAUCUUCCUGCAGCUGAAUUUGAUGGUUAACAAGAAAGCGAUGAGAUGUGACCAGCAAUAUGACAGAGCCUACUAUGUUCUCAAGAGGCUUGUGGAAGAGCUUGAUGCAAUAAAUUCGACAAAUCAAGCGGAUGCUGACGAAAGGAUGGCUAAAGAGGACGCUGAAAUUGAAGAUGACCUUCAUUAUUAUGCAGCUGAAAUGCUCAACGCUGCCGCUGAAGCCAACCAAUGCAAGCAAGGUGAUGGCCAAUCAAUGGAGCAGCGACAGCAAGAGACGAUGAAAUUGCCGUUGUAUUCUGAAACAAAGGGUAGGAAGAAAAUUACUGCAGCAAAGAAAAGUGACAAGAGAGCUCAAAUAAAGGCACCACCUGCAGGAAGAGUCAUCAUGCACGAUGAGAAUGGAGUGCCACUUGGACACAGGAAAUGCAGUGUGUGCAACCAGGUUGCGGGACACAACAAGCUGACCUGUCCAACACUCUUGGAAAGAAACAAUGCUGAGGAGGUCAAGCAACCCAAAGUUAUAGAACAAAAGAAGGGACCACACCCACAGAAAGCAAGCAGCAGGCUUUGUAGCAUAUGCAAGCAGUAUGAACCACAUAAUGAAGAAGAAGAUGAAGACGCAAUCGAAGAAGAGGAAGACGAAGAGGAAGAGGAAGAGGACGAUGAAGAGGAAGAGGAAGAGGAUGAUGAAGAGGAAGAGGAAGAGGAUGAUGAAGAGGAAGAGGAUGAUGAAGAGGAAGAGAACAUUAUGUUAUCCCCUGGUAAUAUACACUGUGAAGUUCAAGCAAUAUUACUGCAGAAGUCCUGAAGUCCUGGUAUGUUAUGGCAGGAGGUGCUCGUGUUGUAUUCCAUAAAAGAGCAACCGGCAAAUAAUCAUACAAUUUUGAAGCUCAUGUCAGCUUACAGAAGAAGUUCUGGUAUGUAA